rnacentral:misc_RNA from 1 species
CAGGUGACAUUGAUUUUUGUUACUUUCAAAGUUGUUUCCUUAUACGUUUCAAUCAUAGGUGCUUCUUUAAGAGGAUACUUCGAGGGUGAAAUUCAUUAAAAUAUGAAAAUAAACUGACAUGGGAUAUAUUUCGGAACAUUAGACAGCAGACUCGCAGAAUGCUUCUUUGUACAAGCCUUAAUAUAUUUAAUCUGUUUGUUUCAUGAGUGUAAUAGUUGUUCAUGGUAACACAAUGAAAAUUGUUGGGGAACUAAUGGGGCUAGUUUGCUUGUUUUUAUUUUUUAUUCUUAUACAUCAUAGAACUCCGACUAUGUGAGCUUAGCAAAACCUAGCCGGUGCCAUGCCCAGAUAAGGAGGGUUGCGAUGGUUUGACGGCCAGCAUAAAAUUCAGUCAUCUCUGAUUAUAUGAAUGGCUGAUCCUCAUAGAUAUUCCUUUAACUAUAUUCAAAGUAAUAAUGGUGCAUACGUAUAAAUUUUAUUCAUGGCAUUAGCUACGCUGACACAUUGUUGAUCAUAUGUGUUGCAGGUUAUAGAGUUAGUUUUCCAGCAAGACAGGGGUCAGGUAGGGUCAUUGGAAAAUUUCUCUAAAAACGUUAUAGUUGGCAAAGGACAAGUUACAGCCAUGACAGCUCUUAAGGAGCUUCGAAAAAUCAGCAAUCUUCUAUCUGAAAUGUGACUUGAGCUUUUAGCUACAUAUGCAUAUACU